AUUGAACGCUGGCGGCAGGCCUAACACAUGCAAGUCGAGCGGGGUUUUCGGACCUAGCGGCGGACGGGUGAGUAAUGCGUAGGAAGCUACCCGAUAGAGGGGGAUACCAGUUGGAAACGACUGUUAAUACCGCAUAAUGUCUACGGACCAAAGCGUGGGACCUUCGGGCCACAUGCUAUCGGAUGCGCCUACGUGGGAUUAGCUAGUUGGUGAGGUAAUGGCUCACCAAGGCGACGAUCCCUAGCUGGUUUGAGAGGAUGAUCAGCCACACUGGAACUGAGACACGGUCCAGACUCCUACGGGAGGCUGCAGUGGGGAAUAUUGGACAAGGGGCGCAAGCCUGAUCCAGCCAUGCCGCGUGUGUGAAGAAGGCCUUCGGGUUGUAAAGCACUUUCAGUAGGGAGGAAGCGUUGUGUGUUAAUAGUACACAGCGUUGACGUUACCUACAGAAGAAGCACCGGCUAACUCUGUGCCAGCAGCCGCGGUAAUAC
rnacentral:rRNA from 1 species